rnacentral:rRNA from 1 species
UACGUAGGGUGCAAGCGUUGUCCGGAAUUAUUGGGCGUAAAGAGCUCGUAGGCGGCCUGUCGCGUCGGAUGUGAAAAUCCAAGGCUCAACCUUGGACCUGCAUUCGAUACGGGCAGGCUAGAGUUCGGUAGGGGAGACUGGAAUUCCUGGUGUAGUGGUGAAAUGCGUAGAGAUCAGGCGGAACACCCGUGGCGAAAGCGGCGCGCUGGAUCCCUUCUGACGCUGAGGCGCGAAAGCCAGGGGGAGCGAACGGGG